UUACAAAAAAAAAACACGAAGCAAGUGCAAGUAAAUUUUAUUUCGUCUAAGCUUUUAAGUAUUUUAUUCAAAAUUAUAUAAUUAUGGAACCACUAUAUACAUUCUGGCUGGUGCGUUGUGCAGCAGCAGCAGCAGCAGCAGAAAUUUUGGAACUCCUUUGAACGAAAGCUUUAUCCGCUAAUGCCUAUUCCACCGCCACUUCAGUUACCAUCAGGCAAUUCAACAGUUGGACUGGCAAACAGAUCUGGCGAUCCCAUUAAAUAUGGACAACAUGGUUGCAUAACUGUACCUGUCACACAAUCCGGAGAUAUUAAGUAGUUCGUCACCUAUCACACGUCUACGGACCAGCUGGGACGGCCACUGGCACGGAAUGAGAUUCAUUCAAAUGUUUCAUAGAUGAAAGAUUUACGCAAUUAGCCUUCGAGUCUGAAUAAAAAGAAAUGUCGGACAGGCA